GAUGAACGCUAGCGACAGGCCUAACACAUGCAAGUCGAGGGGCAUCGGGGCGAGGAGCAAUCCUUGCCGCCGGCGACCGGCGCACGGGUGAGUAACACGUAUGCAACCUGCCCCUGUCAGGGGGACAACCCGCCGAAAGGCGGGCUAAACCCGCGUACAUGCCACCGGGGCAUCCCGGAGGCAGGAAAGGCUUCGGCCGGACAGGGAUGGGCAUGCGGCGCAUUAGGCAGUAGGCGGGGUAACGGCCCACCUAACCGACGAUGCGUAGGGGUUCUGAGAGGAAGGUCCCCCACACUGGUACUGAGACACGGACCAG
rnacentral:rRNA from 1 species